rnacentral:tRNA from 1 species
UGAUCGAGUAGAUAGCGUUGAAACGCCUCCAUUUUUGCGCGAUCGGGACGGGCGAAACUGCUCCCUUCGUGCGGAUUGAAGGCGAUCAG